CGAAGUUCCUCUACAUUCCGUUCUAGCUGUGGAAGAUAGAUGAUAGGCAAGUAAACAACUCUGUGAAAAACAUAAUUCUGGGAAGUGGGCAUGGUAUUGAGGCUCAAUGAAGUUAAAGGACUGCUCAAGGUCAUAAAGCCAGGGCUGGUCCACAAGCCUGGCAGGUGUCAGUCCCCUCAUGGAAGGGGGCUAUGGCACAGGGGGCAACUUCCCCUGCCCCAGCUCACAGAUGGAUAAUUUCAAAAAGAUGAAGAUAUGAACAAAAGUAGUUGUCCAAACAAGGAAUGCACCAAGUGCUGGGCUAAGGACAAAGAAGAUAUGUCUCUUUAAGAAUUCACUCAUGAAUAAGGAAGUGCUUGGUGUUUGCUGAAAUGACACCACAAUGUGUGAGAACAAGAGCAGUUUGAAAGUUAUUUGACAAUUUCAACAGUUUUAAAAAUGUUCAGUCCUUUGACCCAAGAAUUUUGCUCCUGGGAACAUAAAAAAAU